rnacentral:tRNA from 4 species
UGGGCUGUAGUUCAAUUGGUAGAACGCCUGACUCUGGAUCAGGAAGUUCAAGGUUCGAGUCCUUGCAGCCCAG